CCUACGGGGGGCAGCAGUGGGGAAUAUUGCACAAUGGGGGAAACCCUGAUGCAGCGACGCCGCGUGAAGGAAGAAGUAUUUCGGGAUGUAAACUUCUAUCAGCAGGGAAGAAAAUGACGGUACCUGACUAAGAAGCCGCGGCUAACUACGUGCCAGCCUCCGCGGUAAUACGUAGGGGGCAAGCGUUAUCCGGAGUUACGGGGUGUAAAGGGAGCGUAGGCGGUUUAGCAAGUCAGAAGUGAAAGCACGGGGCUCAACUCCGGGACUGCUUUUGAAACUGUUGAACUAGAUUGCAGGAGAGGUAAGUGGAAUUCCUCGUGUAGCGGUGAAAUGCGUCGAUAUUAGGCGGAACACCAGUGGCGAAGGCGGCUUACUGGACUGUAACUGACGCUGAGGCUCGAAAGCGUGGGGAGCAAACAGGAUUAGAUACCCGGGUAGUC
rnacentral:rRNA from 1 species